rnacentral:rRNA from 1 species
AGUGAACGCUGGCGGUAGGCCUAACACAUGCCAGUCGAACGGCAGCACAGGAGAGCUUGCUCUCUAGGUGGCGAGUGGCGGACGGGUGAGGAAUACAUCGGAAUCUGCCCAGUCGUGGGGGAUAACGUAGGGAAACUUACGCUAAUACCGCAUACGACCUUCGGGUGAAAGAGGGGGAUCGCAAGACCUCUCGCGAUUGGAUGAGCCGAUGUCGGAUUAGCUAGUUAGCGGGGUAAUGGCCCACCAAGGCGACGAUCCGUAGCUGGUCUGGGAGGAUGAUCAGCCACACUGGAACUGAGACACGGUCCAGACUCCUACGGGAGGCAGCAGUGGGGAAUAUUGGACAAUGGGCGCAAGCCUGAUCCAGCCAUACCGCGUGGGUGAAGAAGGCCUUCGGGUUGUAAAGCCCUUUUGUUGGGAAAGAAAUCUUUCAGGCUAAUACCCUGGGAGGAUGACGGUACCCAAAGAAUAAGCACCGGCUAACUUCGUG